CGCGGGUCAUAAAGAAGAAUAAUGAAGCAUCGUUUAUUGAGCGUCUGGACGUCUUAUUAUGAUUGCAAUCUAUACAUCGCCACGACGUAUUAACUAUGUCGGUGAGAUGUAUUAAAAGUUCCUCAGUUGUUCACGUGUCAUUUGGAAGAAUCGUUAAUGAGCGUCUGGACGUCUUUACUGUACACACACACACUGUUGGUGUGAAGGACAGUGAAUCUGAAUUCUGCCCAGCAACAUAUUCGUGCCACAGUCGAUAAAGGAAGGGGAAAAAAGUUGCCAGUCUACGAAGGAUCUCUCAAUUGCCAUGAUGACCAAGAUAUUCAACAGGGAAAUGUGGAAAGCUGCCAUAUUCCCAGUCAUUACUUUGCCAAAUCAUCUGUGCAGCACCACCGAGGGAUCCUACUUUCCUGAGUACGAAGCCGGCCAUCAAGGACUUCCCCGACUGGCAACAGACUGGAGCAGAGGCUAUAGCAGGGACAGCAUUUUUUUUUGCUACUGAAAUAAUUUACAUUAUGAUAGAAAGUGGACAAUAUAGUGUGACAAUUAGUUUUUGUUCUCCAACAUGUAUAAACUGCUGUUGUGAAGCAGUGAUAUACAACUCAUGAGUGUGUAGUCAAAAGAGAGAAAUACUGUAUAUUUCAGCGACUCCUACAGAUUAAGAAAAAUAAUGAAUUUUGUUAAUAAAUAAAUGUUAUUCUUGGCUCAAUUGUUAAGUGUUUGAGUUCAAAUAGCAUUACCAUGAUCCCAUAGGCAUCCAAAAAUUGAGAAAGUGAAACAAGGUGUUGGACAUCCUGUUGUGUGUGUAAGCCCUUUUUAUUACCACGGGUUUACAGACAGUCUCUAAUAAUUGGGUAUCACCUGGAACACAGCCAAUAAUCGAGAGACACACCCACCAAACAGAGAAAACAUAACUCAAGCCCUUGCACACCUUUCCCAGGAAACGUGCGUGCCCCAGCUCUUUGCCUGAGGGGAAGCCCACAGUCUCAGACUUUUAAAAAAAAACCUGGUUUAAGCUUUUAACCCUUGUGUU